rnacentral:piRNA from 1 species
UUGGUGCACCUGACUGCCUAGGUCUC